AUGACAUUAGGAGUAGAGAUUAGCAUUGUGGAGAUCUUUCCGUGCCGUGGAUGGUCAAAACAUGCAGAGACGUACGUGGUGUGGAGGUUGGACGUCUACUUCUCCCGCGUGAUUCAAUUCCACGAUCGGUGGGAGGAGAAUGCGGUUAUGGCCUAUUCAUCGGUAGCUGUACGACUGCGCAAUCUUUUGGCAUACUCCUGUAGCCUUUUGGCAUCCUCAUGGCAACGCCUCCCACCUCCGUCGCCGGAGCUGCCCAUCAUCGGGCACCUGCACCUCGUCGGUGCCCUCCCACACGUCUCCCUCCGUGACCUCGCCAGGAAGCACGGUCUGGAUGUGUUGCUCCUCCGGCUGGGCGCACUAUCGACCCUCGUAGUGUCGUCACCGCGCGCCGCCGAGGACGUGCUGUGCACGAAGGACCACAUCCUGGCAUCGCGGCCCCCUUCCGUCGUCCCCGACAUCAUCAUGUAUGGCUCAUCUGACAUCGCCUUCGCGCCGUACGGCGAGUACUGGCGGCAGGCGAGGAAGCUCGUCACCACAGACAUGCUCAACGUUAAGAAGGUGCAGUCUUUCCGCAGCGCCGCCAUAGAGGAGGUCAACAUGGCAAUGGCCAAGAUCAACGAGGCAGCCACAGCUGGUAGUACAGUCGACAUUAGCGAGCUGCUCAACUCAUACUCGAAUGACAUGGCGUGCCGUAUCGUGUCGGGCAAGUUCAGUUUUAACAUGGUCCCUCUUAUCCUCUCUUUUCACAUGAGAGAUGGGCGGAGCAAGUUGUUCCGGGAACUCAUCAAGGACUCCUCACGGCUUGUAGGUGGGUUCAACUUGGAGGAGUACUUCCCAGCAUUGGGUAGGGUUGUAGUGCUUAAGAGGGCGGUUUGUGCCAAGGCGGAAAGAGUGAGGAACAGAUGGGCCAAUCUGCUGGACAAAGUGAUCGAUGAUCGUGUGAGCACGCGCAAAUCAGUGUCUGAUCACAAGAAUGGUGAUUUCGUAGAUAUUCUGUUGUCUAUUCAGCAGGAGUAUAAUCUCACAAGAGAGCACAUGAAAGCUCUCCUCACACCAUCGUCCGCACUCACGGCCAACAGCGCGCCGACCUGCUCCUCCUACUUCCUCCUCUCCAUCGAGCUCGGCCCGCCCGUCAGCCGGCUGCUACGACCACAGGCGCUCGGCCAGCGCGAGGGCCCACGCCGCCCGCUUCAUCUUCUGCGUCGACCUCAGCUCGCCCGUCAACCGGCUGCAGCGACCGCAGACGCUCGGCAGUCUCUCUGGCGGCGCGGGUGCUCAGCUGUGAUCGAGCGGCGUCCCCAGCGGCGGCGGCAACCCCAGCGGUCGACUCACGGACCUGACACGGCACCAACGCCGGGGCUGUCCACGUCAACAAGACGGGAGCCGCCGGGUCGACUCGGCAGUCGGCACCACCUCGAGCUCCGCCCGCCCACAGACUCUCAGGAGAAUGCCGUCCCGCACUGGGACCUGUCACGGGCCGCCUCACCUUGCGCUGGGUCCGAGUCAAAGCCGCUGCCGCCGGCGUUGCCAACCAGGGAGCUCUGCGCCCCUCCACUCUCCUAA
rnacentral:rRNA from 1 species